rnacentral:rRNA from 1 species
GACGAACGCUGGCGGCGUGCCUAAUACAUGCAAGUCGAGCGGAACUGGGUGAGCUUGCUCCUUCCAGUUUAGCGGCGGACGGGUGAGUAACACGUGGGCAACCUGCUCUGCAGAUCGGGAUAACUCCGGGAAACCGGUGCUAAUACCGAAUAGUUUGGCGCCUCUCCUGAGGCGCUACGGAAAGACGGUUUCGGCUGUCACUGCAGGAUGGGCCCGCGGCGCCUUAGCUAGUUGGUGGGGUAACGGCCCACCAAGGCGACGAAGCGUAGCCGACCUGAGAGGGUGACCGGCCACACUGGGACUGAGACACGGCCCAGACUCCUACGGCAGGCAGCAGUAGGGAAUCUUCCGCAAUGGACGCAAGUCUGACGGAGCAACGCCGCGUGAGUGACGAAGGUUUUCGGAUCGUAAAACUCUGUUGUGAGGGAAGAACACGUACCAACUAACUAUUGGUACCUUGACGGUACCUCGCCAGAAAGCCACGGCUAACUACGUGCCAGCCGCCGCAGUAA